rnacentral:rRNA from 1 species
CCUACGGGAGGCAGCAGUGAGGAAUAUUGGUCACUGGACGCAAGUCUGAACCAGCCAUGCCGCGUGCAGGAAGAAGGAUCUAUGAGUUGUAAACUGCUUUUGUACGGGGGUAAAGCCAGAUACGUGUAUCUGGUUGAAAGUAUCGUACGAAUAAGGAUCGGCUAACUCCGUGCCAGCAGCCGCGGUAAUCCGGAGGAUUCAAGCGUUAUCCGGAUUUAUUGGGUUUAAAGGGUGCGUAGGCGGUUCGAUAAGUUAGAGGUGAAAUCCCGGGGCGCAACCCCGGAACUGCCGUUGAUACUGGUGGGCUAGAGUAUAGUUGAGGUAGGCGGAAUGUAUGGUGUAGCGGUGAAAUGCAUAGAGAUCAUACAGAACACCGAUUGCGAAGGCAGCUUACCAAACUACGACUGACGUUGAGGCACGAAAGCGUGGGGAGCAAACAGGAUUAGAUACCCGUGUAGUC